rnacentral:lncRNA from 1 species
AGGUGACCAGGUGUCAGCAUGGCCUCAGCAGGAUGCAGUCUUCCAGGUGCCCUGCCGGCUAUUAGCCUGGUCCACACCCCCCUCGCAUACUCUCAAUGCAUCUUUUCUACCCAGGUAGCUCCCAAUAGUAGUGCCUCCCAUGGUGCAGAUGCUCAACUUGAUCUAGAUCCCUGAGCAUUGCAGGGAGCAGCUAUGGAGAGCAGAGGAGGAUGCCCACCCCAGAGAACUUCUGCCUAGUGACCAGUGCAGAGUGUGUGCUGUGGGUCAGAAAUGGAAAACAAUCUAGAUAAUGUGUUUCAAAAGUGGAAAGAGCCAUCAGCUCUAUCUUGUGCCUGAGACAGCAAUGAGGUGGACAGUCCAGCCCCACUAGGGGCAGGAGUUCAGACCAGGCAGCAGACACCCUACCUGGCAGCUCCUCUUUCCUGCCCAGAAAGCAGGGAUGGGGUGGGGUGGAAACGAGGUGUUGGGAGCAGUGCAGGGUCCACAGGCCCCUGCUGCUCUUGCCUUCUUGGGGUCACAAUGCCACCACAAUAGAACCAGUCCUGCAUCCAGCACCUGCAGGCCGAGCACUUGCUGUCUUGCCUGAAAAGAUGCUGGGCAUUGACCAGCCAAUCAGUGCCUUUGCAGCUAUUUUUGGGGUAUAAUGGAAAUCACAGUGAUUUUGUCAGAUUUUGGCACAUUUGAGACACAUGUGUACACUUGUGAAGACAUCACGGUCACGUUGAAGACAUGUUCAGAUCCAGAAAGGUUUCCCUACAGCCUUCUGCAGUUCCUGUCUCCUGGAUCCCUGCCCUGCCUUGAGUCUGGGUCCCCGGGCAAAGCCAUGGCCAGCUUCCUGUCACUACGGGCUAUUCUGCGUUUCUUAGAGGGGCACAUGAAAGGAAGCAUGUGGUGUGCACGUUCCUCUAUCCCCUGUCAGUACCUGUGUCUUCGGAGCUGUCUGUGCUGGUGCGUGUAUCAGCAGUGAUGCUCAGUUGCGUGGGUCUGACACUGUUUAUCAUUCACCUCUUCAUGGACAUUUGGCUUGUUUCUGGAGUUUUUAUCAUUACAAAUCUGCCAUGAACAUUUGUGCACAAGUCAUCACAUGUGAAUACGUUUUCUCUUUGUGAAACACCUAGGAGCAGCAUUGUAGGCACUUUUAAGGAAACUCAACCCCUCCAAGGGCUCUGCCACUUCCCAUCACCACAGCAGCGUGUGUGCUGCACCUGCUGCGUGUUGGCCAUGGGCAGCUUCAAGGUCUGCCUUCCAGGUCUACAGGAGCACCCCUUGUUUAAACAUGUACUUCCCCAGCAACUUAGGAAUUGGAGCAAAUUCUCAUGAGCUGCUGCCAUUCAAAUACCUUCUCUGGUGA